UUGCUAGCCAGUGAAAACCAGUGGGUGGAAACCAGUUCAGAAGACGAAAAUGUUAAAUCAGGUGUAAAAAAACAUAUUAUAGUUUCAUUGGAGAGCUGAUCAGUGUCCAUCUCUCUCUCAGUGGUUGGGAGAAAAAGGUUUCUACAGUCCAUUUGUGCUUGGGUAUUAAUUUUGUAAGGAAGACACUGAUAUAUCAAUGGAACAGUGCCAGCAUGUUAACAGGAUAUGAAAAAUGAAGCUCUGUGGUAUCCACUGGAUGCUUAUAAGCACUUGCAGAACAGGAAGUCAUCUGAUGCCUUAAGAUUCUUGAUGUGCAUUUUUGCAACACAACUUUAAGCCACUACAAGGGCCAAAUCGUGAAAUGCCCUGCAAGGGUGCACAAGACUCUAAAAGUGCAGAAACUAUGCAUUCCAGCUGCACUCCAGUGGAGGAGACCGAUUCUGCAAAGUUCACAUGAAAGAUAAUGCUGUGCCAGCAUCAUGCAGGAGUUACAUUCAUAGCAAGUCUGUGGGGGCAAGGUUGGUUGGAGGAGGGAAUUAUGUGAUACAACCAUUGAGUUUGGCCUCUGAAGGUACACGGUACAGUUAUGUGUGACUCAAACACCAUAUGGUGGAUUAGCAGCAUGAUGCAUUUUUGCUUUCCCACUACGAUUAUCAGAUAAUGGGUGAUAGUAGUAGGUGUUACUAACCUGACAACCCUGGCUUUUUAGUCCUGAUAUUGAUGUUCUCUUCCUUCAGGCUUGCUUUUUUGCAAUACAGUGUCAGACAAACAAGGUUAUCCAUUUGCUUGUUUGACUCAGAAUUAGCACCCACUGGCAGCUUGGUACAUUAAUCUGAAGUUUUCUUAGUUGUUUAAAAAAUUAAGAGAGCAUUUUAAUUUCCUGAAAUGUGUUUAAUCUAAGCCAUAUCAGAUCAGAAAUAUACUUCAGUAAAGUUAUUUCUUCCCCUACCAUCGUAAAAACAUUUACUUGAAUAUUAUUUUUAAAUCUUUUUGACUAGUAAUUCCAAGUUUCAAAUCCUUUCUGAAGCUUGCGUAUACUUAAGUCUUCUUUACAUGUAAGUUCAGAGAUAAUCCACUUAUUUUUCUUUGAUAGAAAGGAAGCAAAUUAAGUACUGCUUUUUUGUGGAGCUGGAUUUCAAAAGUGUCUUUUCAAGGGAUAUGAUUAAAUUACAGUGGGGAAGAAAGCACCAAAAGGUGAAAGAGAAUUCUGUUUUCUAAGGCACUUAGUUUACUAUUUCCCUUAUCUUAGACCUUAAGAUCCAAAUAUUCAUUUUUAAGCAGAAAUUGCCCUUUGCGUGCAUAAUUCCAAUAACACUAGAAAUUAUUGUGGAGGCUUUAUCUUGACUGAGGGCAGCAAAGUGCUUUAUGCUUGAUUUAUACAUUUCUGAACAAGAGCUGAGUGUGCAUGAGGUUUCCAUUCCUUCCAUCCCUCCCCACCAACUCAGCCUGCAAACAUUGCUCCAGUCACCUUUACUCCAAGGAAAAGAUUCAGGGAGGUUGUGAUGUUCCUCCUUAGCUGUAUGGAGGGUACUGCACAUCAUUCUGUCUUGAUAUAAACAUUUUAAUCCCCAUGAUAAAUUGUGUUUUGACUGCUCAAAGCCUGUUGACGUUCCAGAACAUCUCAAACUUUUUUGGCAUAAAUUCGGUCAUUGUGUGACACAUACAAAAGAAAUUGGGCCCAAUCUGCAAAUCUUAGGUGGCAUAACAAGGGUGGGAAAAGAGGAAUUAUAUGCACUCUAACUUUAUAAUUUGCAAAAAUGUUGCAUAUGUUCAUAAAUUUGGCUGUAAAACAAGGGAAGAGCUCCAGUAGCUUGUGCUGCCUUUGAGACCAGCCUGAACUUGGAUCACAAAGUACUAUGCUCAGGAUUUUCAACACUAACAUAUCCCGUUCCCUUAUUCAGUUAAAGGGUUCCAAAUAAUCUUAUGCCCGCCCACCCACCCCCAGCAAUGUUGGGAGCCCAUAGGAUUGUGCCCUUAUAAUACCAUUAUUUCUUCUUAUGGUGUGUUAAUAAACACAGAGUACAUGAAAUGAAUGGGUGACAGGGUUCUCUUUGUAAAGUGUACAUAGGAAUAAAAGUCCAUCUGCACUCAUUUGUAAGGUGUCCACAUAUUUCUGAUAUAUUCUGAUAUAAUCCCAUUUUCCUUGUUGUUAUUGGGAUAAAUUUUAAAAAGCCAAUAUUUAAUAUUUUAUUAUUCUGCAUUCCUUAAACCACUUGGUAAAGCUUCCAUCAAUUAUUUUAUUUUUAAAAUGUCAAUGACAAUAAAACUGUCACUGUAUCAGAACAUGUUCACAGUAUCUAAAAUGUAUUUUAGAUAAAGUGUCAUAGCAGUAUCAUGAAAUUAUACCAAAGAAUAUAUUGCAUAAAGUUUGUGGAUUAUACUGAAAGAUAUGUUUACAGGUUUUAUUUCAAUGCCUUCUCAUUAAAGCAUUUUGCUGGUGAUUUGAUGAUCUGUGUACUUGGAAACACUUUACUGUAUGCACAAUUAUUUUUAAUAUUAGUAAAUUAAUCUUGCAUCCCGUGAGCAUAGAUACAUUCCUUGCCACUGUGCAAAGUCCCUUAUCAGUCAUUCUUGAAUUCUGAUUUUAUCAAGGUACUUGCUGGCUGCUACUGGGAUAAGAUUUUAGGUUGCAGUUUGGGGGUGAAAAGUGUAAAAAGAAAUAAAAAACACAUUUUAGAAAUUGUUUCUUAUGCCAAAAAAGUAAGUAUUAGAAAAGUCUCAAAAUGCAACUUUGCAAACCAAAUCUACAGCUUCCUCUACAGAAGAAAAGUCCUAAUUGAUACCCCUCUCUAAAUGAGUCAGUCAAGAAGGUCCAAGCAUCUUUUCAUAAAAUGAUGCCAACUAUAAUAUACAAUGUGAAGUUAGAUCUUAGCUACCUAACAAUGCAUCCCUUGCCAACUGUGUUUAAAAAUUAUUUUUAAGUUAGUCUUACUAUCCAUUAUGUUCUCCAGAUAUUACUUGAAUAUUGUAAAUGGUAAAAAAAAAGCUGGCCAUGUUUACAAAGUAGAGAUGAAUGGUUUAUCAAGAUCUCAUUUUGUGGCACCAAAGAAUGAGAAAUUUUAUCAAAUGUAUAGCUUGCAUAUUAGCCAUUUAAAGGACUUCCAGAAUUCUGAAAUUAUGCCAGGAAAAUGUUAAGGUAUGUGGUUUAAGGACUGCAGCCUUUUUACCUCAAUCCUAAAUUUAACUGGAAGUCCUGCUAGAGAUUACGUUACAAGUACAUGGCUUAGGGUUGCAGGUUGCAGUGCUUAACAAAAUUUCUGUACCAUGUCUUCCCCAUAUCCCCGCUCCCCCACCCAAUGUAAAUUACAUGGCCAUACAAGUGGUACCUUAAGUUCAUCUAGGGUUACCAGAACCUGUGUUCAUCAGUUGUUGUGUCAGAUACAUUGCACUGUAUUUAUGACAAAUAUGUAUGCAAGUAUUUUACCUAAUUAUUUCCAUUGUACUAAAAGUGAGCUUGCAAGUUUUCACAUUUAAAUUGGAAUAAGGUUACUUAGAGGAUAUAUAAUGUGAAUGAUGCAUCUGUUACACUGCAGAUAAGAAUAUCCCUAUGCACAAAGAAAACAUAUUGCCAUUAACAAUUUAAUACUUCAAAGUGACUUUUUCAAUGGGCUUUUAUAAAUAAAUAUAAGAAUAAAGAUCACUUUGCCUGGAAUUUUCAUAUUUUUACCUUCACCUUGUAAUAUCUUUCAUGUAUAUUUUCCACCAAUGUAAUAAUUUUAGGUCAUAAUGAGUAUUUUGUAUAUCAAAGUGCAGACUUCCAUUCAUGUCUUAAUUAUAACUCCUAGAAAAACAAUGCAUCAUCUUUAAGUCCUUCUUUGCCAAAGUGGUGGUACAUUAAUAGAUUCUGACACAAUGAAUGCGAAAAAAAUAAAUACCUUGGAACUAA